UAUCAAGGACCCUAACUAUGGAAUACGCAUGAUAGAGACACAUAUCAAAGAUCAUUAAGGUCAAUGGAAAUCAUAAGCAUUGACGAAGCAUUCAUAACUAUGGAAUACGCAUGUUACUCUUGCCAAAGAUUUACUUAACACAAUCGUGACUAGCGACUUUUACUACUUAUGAAUUUAAGUUAAUAACGAUUAGGUGAAAUUCCCUUACACUCUAGCAUCAAAUUCAUGCAUGCAAACUAAGUGUCGACCCUUAAUCAACAUACAUAAACAUGUUAUCAAUCAAAUAGAUAAGUAAACCACAUUUACGAUUUAUGAAAUCAUAACUGGAGGAAAUCAAGUCAUGUAAAACAUAUGAUCAUGGCUUUGAAUUCCCCUCUAACUAUAAAGAAAUUAGUUCCUCAUGUUCGCAAAUAAACAAAGAUAAAUAAAUUUAAACAUUGACAUAAAGAUAGAAAACACCUAGAAACGCUCCAACAAUCCAAGCUCCUUGAAUGGCAUGCACGGCUCCAAGAGUCUCCUUCCUUCUCCUUUGUAAACUCACGGCACAAGAGGGAUGUUUGGGUGAAUGGUGUAGUGAAAAUAUGGUAGAGGGUGGUCACUAAAUGGUGCAGCAAAGCAUGGUAUUUAUAGGCUGAAAUUCGCAGCCCCUAUGUAGCAAAGGAAAAGGAUUUAA
rnacentral:lncRNA from 1 species